AGCGAACGCUGGCGGCAGGCUUAACACAUGCAAGUCGAGCGGGCACUUUCGGGUGUCAGCGGCGGACGGGUGAGUAACGCGUGGGAACGUGCCCUCUGGUUCGGAAUAACUCAGGGAAACUUGAGCUAAUACCGGAUACGCCCUUUUGGGGAAAGGCUUGCUGCCGGAGGAUCGGCCCGCGUCUGAUUAGCUAGUUGGUGAGGUAACGGCUCACCAAGGCGACGAUCAGUAGCUGGUCUGAGAGGAUGAUAAGCCACACUGGGACUGAGACACGGCCCAGACUCCUACGGGAGGCAGCAGUGGGGAAUAUUGGACAAUGGGCGAAAGCCUGAUCCAGCCAUGACGCGUGAGUGAUGAAGGCCUUAGGGUUGUAAAGCUCUUUUAUCCGGGACGAUAAUGACGGUACCGGAGGAAUAAGCCCCGGCUAACUUCGUG
rnacentral:rRNA from 1 species